rnacentral:rRNA from 1 species
CUCUCGGCAACGGAUAUCUAGGCUCUCGCAUCGAUGAAGAACGUAGCGAAAUGCGAUACUUGGUGUGAAUUGCAGAAUCCCGCGAAUCAUCGAGUCUUUGAACGCAAGUUGCGCCCGAAGCCCCUCGGGGCCGAGGGCACGUCUGCCUGGGCGUCACGCACCGUCGC